CCUACGGGUGGCAGCAGUGAGGAAUAUUGGUCAAUGGACGAGAGUCUGAACCAGCCAAGUAGCGUGAAGGAUGACUGCCCUAUGGGUUGUAAACUUCUUUUAUAUGGGAAUAAAAUGUUCCACGUGUGGGAUUUUGUAUGUACCAUAUGAAUAAGGAUCGGCUAACUCCGUGCCAGCAGCCGCGGUAAUACGGAGGAUCCGAGCGUUAUCCGGAUUUAUUGGGUUUAAAGGGAGCGUAGGUGGAUUGUUAAGUCAGUUGUGAAAGUUUGCGGCUCAACCGUAAAAUUGCAGUUGAAACUGGCAGUCUUGAGUACAGUAGAGGUGGGCGGAAUUCGUGGUGUAGCGGUGAAAUGCUUAGAUAUCACGAAGAACUCCGAUUGCGAAGGCAGUUCACUGGACUGCAACUGACACUGAGGCUCGAAAGUGUGGGUAUCAAACAGGAUUAGAUACCCUUGUAGCC
rnacentral:rRNA from 1 species